CAGGAUGGUGCUAAGGUCGAAGUACAUAUGACUGAAUUCAGACCUUCCCAUCCAGUCUUUGUAUUCAUUCCAUAAUAAAGAUGUCUUGGCUUCAUGAUCGAAAAGAACUCACUUUUAAUCCUGGUUGGUAAGCCUCAAAACUCUCGAAAACUCAUCCGGGAUAAAAUUUUUGAGACAAGGGGCGGUGGGUCCCGGUUGGUGUUACCAACCACACCGACCGAGACUAAAAAAAUUCGAAAAAAAAGAAUUAAA
rnacentral:lncRNA from 1 species